rnacentral:rRNA from 1 species
GCAUAUCAAUAAGCGGAGGAAAGAAACCAACCGGGAUUGCCUCAGUAACGGCGAGUGAAGCGGCAAGAGCUCAAAUUUGAAAGCUGGCUCCUUCGGGGUCCGCAUUGUAAUUUGCAGAGGAUGCUUCGGGUGCGGCCCCUGUCUAAGUGCCCUGGAACGGGCCGUCAGAGAGGGUGAGAAUCCCGUCUGGGAUGGGGUGUCCGCGCCCGUGUGAAGCUCCUUCGACGAGUCGAGUUGUUUGGGAAUGCAGCUCUAAAUGGGUGGUAAAUUUCAUCUAAAGCUAAAUACUGGCCGGAGACCGAUAGCGCACAAGUAGAGUGAUCGAAAGAUGAAAAGCACUUUGAAAAGAGAGUUAAAAAGCACGUGAAAUUGUUGAAAGGGAAGCGCUUGCGACCAGACUCGCCUCCAGGGUUCAGCCGGCAUUCGUGCCGGUGUACUUCCCUGGGGGCGGGCCAGCGUCGGUUUGGGCGGCCGGUCAAAGGCUCCCGGAAUGUAGUGCCCUCCGGGGCACCUUAUAGCCGGGAGUGCAAUGCGGCCAGCCUGGACCGAGGAACGCGCUUCGGCACGGACGCUGGCAUAAUGGUCGUAAACGACCCGUCUUGAAACACGGACCAAGGAGUCUAACAUCUACGCGAGUGUUCGGGUGUCAAACCCGUACGCGCAGUGAAAGCGAACGGAGGUGGGAGCCCCCUCGUGGGGCGCACCAUCGACCGAUCCUGAUGUCUUCGGAUGGAUUUGAGUAAGAGCGUAAAUGUGGGGACCCGAAAGAUGGUGAACUAUGCCUGAAUAGGGCGAAGCCAGAGGAAACUCUGGUGGAGGCUCGCAGCGGUUCUGACGUGCAAAUCGAUCGUCAAAUUUGGGUAUAGGGGCGAAAGACUAAUCGAACCAUCUAGUAGCUGGUCUGC